rnacentral:rRNA from 1 species
AGCGUACACGGUGGAUGCCCUGGCAGUCAGAGGCGAUGAAGGACGUGCUAAUCUGCGAUAAGCGUCGGUAAGGUGAUAUGAACCGUUAUAACCGGCGAUUUCCGAAUGGGGAAACCCAGUGUGUUUCGACACACUAUCAUUAACUGAAUCCAUAGGUUAAUGAGGCGAACCGGGGGAACUGAAACAUCUAAGUACCCCGAGGAAAAGAAAUCAACCGAGAUUCCCCCAGUAGCGGCGAGCGAACGGGGAGCAGCCCAGAGCCUGAAUCAGUGUGUGUGUUAGUGGAAGCGUCUGGAAAGGCGCGCGAUACAGGGUGACAGCCCCGUACACAAAAAUGCACAUGCUGUGAGCUCGAUGAGUAGGGCGGGACACGUGGUAUCCUGUCUGAAUAUGGGGGGACCAUCCUCCAAGGCUAAAUACUCCUGACUGACCGAUAGUGAACCAGUACCGUGAGGGAAAGGCGAAAAGAACCCCGGCGAGGGGAGUGAAAAAGAACCUGAAACCGUGUACGUACAAGCAGUGGGAGCACGCUUAGGCGUGUGACUGCGUACCUUUUGUAUAAUGGGUCAGCGACUUAUAUUCUGUAGCAAGGUUAACCGAAUAGGGGAGCCGAAGGGAAACCGAGUCUUAACUGGGCGUUAAGUUGCAGGGUAUAGACCCGAAACCCGGUGAUCUAGCCAUGGGCAGGUUGAAGGUUGGGUAACACUAACUGGAGGACCGAACCGACUAAUGUUGAAAAAUUAGCGGAUGACUUGUGGCUGGGGGUGAAAGGCCAAUCAAACCGGGAGAUAGCUGGUUCUCCCCGAAAGCUAUUUAGGUAGCGCCUCGUGAAUUCAUCUCCGGGGGUAGAGCACUGUUUCGGCAAGGGGGUCAUCCCGACUUACCAACCCGAUGCAAACUGCGAAUACCGGAGAAUGUUAUCACGGGAGACACACGGCGGGUGCUAACGUCCGUCGUGAAGAGGGAAACAACCCAGACCGCCAGCUAAGGUCCCAAAGUCAUGGUUAAGUGGGAAACGAUGUGGGAAGGCCCAGACAGCCAGGAUGUUGGCUUAGAAGCAGCCAUCAUUUAAAGAAAGCGUAAUAGCUCACUGGUCGAGUCGGCCUGCGCGGAAGAUGUAACGGGGCUAAACCAUGCACCGAAGCUGCGGCAGCGACACUAUGUGUUGUUGGGUAGGGGAGCGUUCUGUAAGCCUGUGAAGGUGUGCUGUGAGGCAUGCUGGAGGUAUCAGAAGUGCGAAUGCUGACAUAAGUAACGAUAAAGCGGGUGAAAAGCCCGCUCGCCGGAAGACCAAGGGUUCCUGUCCAACGUUAAUCGGGGCAGGGUGAGUCGACCCCUAAGGCGAGGCCGAAAGGCGUAGUCGAUGGGAAACAGGUUAAUAUUCCUGUACUUGGUGUUACUGCGAAGGGGGGACGGAGAAGGCUAUGUUGGCCGGGCGACGGUUGUCCCGGUUUAAGCGUGUAGGCUGGUUUUCCAGGCAAAUCCGGAAAAUCAAGGCUGAGGCGUGAUGACGAGGCACUACGGUGCUGAAGCAACAAAUGCCCUGCUUCCAGGAAAAGCCUCUAAGCAUCAGGUAACAUCAAAUCGUACCCCAAACCGACACAGGUGGUCAGGUAGAGAAUACCAAGGCGCUUGAGAGAACUCGGGUGAAGGAACUAGGCAAAAUGGUGCCGUAACUUCGGGAGAAGGCACGCUGAUAUGUAGGUGAAGUCCCUCGCGGAUGGAGCUGAAAUCAGUCGAAGAUACCAGCUGGCUGCAACUGUUUAUUAAAAACACAGCACUGUGCAAACACGAAAGUGGACGUAUACGGUGUGACGCCUGCCCGGUGCCGGAAGGUUAAUUGAUGGGGUUAGCCGCAAGGCGAAGCUCUUGAUCGAAGCCCCGGUAAACGGCGGCCGUAACUAUAACGGUCCUAAGGUAGCGAAAUUCCUUGUCGGGUAAGUUCCGACCUGCACGAAUGGCGUAAUGAUGGCCAGGCUGUCUCCACCCGAGACUCAGUGAAAUUGAACUCGCUGUGAAGAUGCAGUGUACCCGCGGCAAGACGGAAAGACCCCGUGAACCUUUACUAUAGCUUGACACUGAACAUUGAGCCUUGAUGUGUAGGAUAGGUGGGAGGCUUAGAAGUGUGGACGCCAGUCUGCAUGGAGCCGACCUUGAAAUACCACCCUUUAAUGUUUGAUGUUCUAACGUUGACCCGUAAUCCGGGUUGCGGACAGUGUCUGGUGGGUAGUUUGACUGGGGCGGUCUCCUCCUAAAGAGUAACGGAGGAGCACGAAGGUUGGCUAAUCCUGGUCGGACAUCAGGAGGUUAGUGCAAUGGCAUAAGCCAGCUUGACUGCGAGCGUGACGGCGCGAGCAGGUGCGAAAGCAGGUCAUAGUGAUCCGGUGGUUCUGAAUGGAAGGGCCAUCGCUCAACGGAUAAAAGGUACUCCGGGGAUAACAGGCUGAUACCGCCCAAGAGUUCAUAUCGACGGCGGUGUUUGGCACCUCGAUGUCGGCUCAUCACAUCCUGGGGCUGAAGUAGGUCCCAAGGGUAUGGCUGUUCGCCAUUUAAAGUGGUACGCGAGCUGGGUUUAGAACGUCGUGAGACAGUUCGGUCCCUAUCUGCCGUGGGCGCUGGAGAACUGAGGGGGGCUGCUCCUAGUACGAGAGGACCGGAGUGGACGCAUCACUGGUGUUCGGGUUGUCAUGCCAAUGGCACUGCCCGGUAGCUAAAUGCGGAAGAGAUAAGUGCUGAAAGCAUCUAAGCACGAAACUUGCCCCGAGAUGAGUUCU